rnacentral:rRNA from 1 species
AGGGUCGAAAGACGGACUUAGUGAUCCGGUGGUUCCGCAUGGAAGGGCCAUCGCUCAACGGAUAAAAGCUACCCCGGGGAUAACAGGCUUAUCUCCCCCAAGAGUUCACAUCGACGGGGAGGUUUGGCACCUCGAUGUCGGCUCAUCGCAUCCUGGGGCUGUAGUCGGUCCCAAGGGUUGGGCUGUUCGCCCAUUAAAGCGGUACGCGAGCUGGGUUCAGAACGUCGUGAGACAGUUCGGUCCCUAUCCGUCGUGGGCGUAGGAAAUUUGAGAGGAGCUGUCCUUAGUACGAGAGGACCGGGAUGGACAUACCUCUGGUGUACCAGUUGUCGUGCCAACGGCAUAGCUGGGUAGCUAUGUGUGGACGGGAUAAGUGCUGAAAGCAUCUAAGCAUGAAGCCCCCCUCAAGAUGAGAUUUCCCAACUUCGGUUAUAAGAUCCCUCAAAGAUGAUGAGGUUAAUAGGUUCGAGGUGGAAGCAUGGUGACAUGUGGAGCUGACGAAUACUAAUCGAUCGAAGACUUAAUCAA